UUGCCUGCUAUAUAAACCCCUAAUUUUAGUCAGUCAGGGAGAUGGAUUUGAGACUGAUCUCCUACCUCCUAGGCUGCAAUAAUUAUUUUCUCAGUGAUUGGCUUCCUUUGUGGCCAGAAGUACGACCUAGACUGAACCCCUGGUGUUUUGGUAGCAGAUUUUGGUUCCCUGACCCUGAACGCAUUGCUCAUGGCUUGGCUCCCAAGGGCUGGGAGUCUCAGAAGCUUUCCUAAGCUGCUGCCAACCCAAUUUUCGCUGGAGGUGAGUUUCUGUCUCUCUCUGGCUGCACUGCUGCCAGCCCCAAGUGUGUUCCUGAUUGCCUGGGAAGAAUAGCCUUUGAAAUUUGCCAUCUGUAUCUUGAUAGGUGAAUGUCCUUUGUGGGUCCAGACAGCAGAAUCUGCUCCUCUCAACGUGGCAAAUUUUUAAAGGAAUUUCCAUUUGCAGGUUGAACAAGGCCCACUGACUGAGAGAGGGAAUGCCCUGACUGUUUUAGAGUGGACACUCUGGGAUUACAGAUGUGAGCCACCACCCCCAGCCAUUUUCUAGUUAUUUUUAAUCCUAAGCCAUUUAUCUAUCACUGAUGGGCCUUCAUGUAUGGACUUGAAAACAAAAUAUAUACAAAUGUUGCACUGGUUUGAAGAUUUUAGUAAUGAAAGCUACCUAAUCGGUUGUCAGUAUGUUAUCUAGAAAACAAUCUUAGUAAUAUGUGAUGAUGCUUUUUCAAAAUAGCUGAAAAGAAAUUAUUCUGUGCUUGCUUUUACUUUGUUCUUGUUUUGUCCUAUAAUAUUUAAGUGAAGGGAGAUUAUUUAGCCUCAUAUUGAAUUUCCAAAACUGAUAUUUGCGUUUGCUAUUUUUUUAUGAUGGAGAGAAAAGUUAUCUUACUUUGAUAAGUUUGACAUAGGACCUAUCACUUUUUGAAGCUUUUGGUGACAGUUCUGUCACUAGAAUGCUAGCAAUUAGAUAUAUGCAAUGAAUAGCUUAAUUACUUUAAUAAAAUGUCUUGAAGUGCUGCAGACAGUAACUCUUGGACACAUAUCACAGUAUUUUAAUUUGUGACAUGUUAGAGAGAAUGAUAAUACUUUCUGUGGUAUAAAUAUCCCAUUACCUAAUCCUAGUUCUGUUAACUUUCAGGGCUUUGACUCCUGAGUCUGAAAAAGCCACCACCCCCUGCUAAAUCUUAAGUGUUAACACCAGUUGGAGUCUCAUCUUCAGACUCGGUAGAAGAUGACAAUCAAAAUAAACUGUUUUCAUGAGACACGGGUCAGGGAAUAAAAACCACUCAAUCCUUCUAGGCCCAGGGACUAUCAAAGAAGAGGUGGUGGCCUGAGACUGUAAGGACUGAUUUUGAGGGAUAAGAUUAGUUCAGUUUUUUUUUUUAUUUGUUUCUUUUGAGACAAGGUCUCCCUCUGUCACCCAGGCUGGAGUGCAGUGGCGCCAUCACGGCUCACCACAACCUCUGCUUCCCAGGCUCAAGUGAUCUCACCUCCACAUCCUGAAUAGCUGAGACCACAGACACAUACCACCAUGCCUGCCUUGGCCUCCCAGGGUGCUGGGAUUACAGAUGUGAGCCACCACUCUGGGCCUGGAGUUUCUCUAUAAAUCAAACAUUAAUCUCAAAAGCACACUGAAGCAUGGCCAGCAUCUGGUCCCCUGUGUUGGAAAAACAGAGUUUUCUUGGAACACAGAUCUACUCUUUAAUAAAAAAAUAUAAAAGGUUAUAAAACAUUGAUGGAAAUCUUACCUUAUGGUGGAACUGAUUAAAAUUUUAAUAGUUAAAAUUAAUCACAAAAUUAAUUCAAUUUUAAUUUAAUUAAAAUUAGUUUCCAGAAGUCUGAGAGAGACACAUUAGCCUUAUUAGACUUAUUUGUUAUGUAAGAGUUUUGUAGGAAGCAUUGUCAAAUCUGAGGUGGUGUUUAGCUUCCUUUGGGUUGUAUUUAUAUAGAUGUGUUGUUAAUGUGUGUUCCAGGAGCCUAUGAGAUUUUAAAAAUUCUCAUAUGUCUUAAUAUAUAUUGUCAGUAGUAAUUGUGAUUAUUGUAAUUGUUGUAUGCCACAGAAAUAAGCAAAUUUCCUUGUUGACUCUGUCUUUAACUAUGGCUGUCUUAAGACUUUUGUCACCCAUUAUUGUUUUUUUUGCUUUGAUUUUUCUCAAAAAAAAAAAAAAAGAAAAA
ensembl:lncRNA